rnacentral:misc_RNA from 1 species
CCAAUAGCGUAUAUUAAAGUUGUUGCAGUUAAAAAGCUCGUAGUUGAAUUUCGGGAUCAAUAUAUCGGUCGUGCCAUCGGUACGUACUGGUAUCAUUGGUUUCUCCUUUCUGACGAACCAUGAUGUCAUUAAUUUGGUGUUAUGGGAAGUUAGGACUGUUACUUUGAAAAAAUUAGAGUGUUUAAAGCAGGCUUUAGCUUGAAUACAUUAGCAUGGAAUAAUGAAAUAGGACGUUCGAAACUAUUUUGUUGGUUUCUAGGAUCAACGUAAUGAUUAAUAGGGAUAGUUGGGGGCAUUAGUAUUCAAUUGUCAGAGGUGAAAUUCUUGGAUUUAUUGAAGACUAACUACUGCGAAAGCAUUUGCCAAGGAUGUUUUCAUUAAUCAAGAACGAAAGUUAGGGGAUCGAAGACGAUCAGAUACCGUCGUAGUCUUAACCAUAAACUAUGCCGACUAGGGAUCGGAUGAUGUUAAUUUUUUAAUGACUCAUUCGGCGCCUUACG